AUUGAACGCUGGCGGUAUGCUUAACACAUGCAAGUCGAACGGUAACAGGCCUUUGGGCGCUGACGAGUGGCGGACGGUGAGUAACGCGUAGGAAUCUGCCUCAUAGUGGGGGACAACGUGGGGAAACUCACGCUAAUACCGCAUACGCCCUACGGGGAAAGCGGGGGAGUCUUCGGACCUCGCGCUAUGAGAUGAGCCUGCGUUAGAUUAGCUAGUUGGUAGGGUAAAGGCCUACCAAGGCGACGAUCUAUAGCUGGUCUGAGAGGACGAUCAGCCACACUGGGACUGAGACACGGCCCAGACUCCUACGGGAGGCAGCAGUGGGGAAUAUUGGACAAUGGGCGCAAGCCUGAUCCAGCAACACCGCGUGUGUGAAGAAGGCCUUAGGGUUGUAAAGCACUUUCAAUUGGGAGGAAAACCUGCCGGUCAAUACCCGGUAGCUUGACAUUACCUUUAGAAGAAGCACCGGCUAACUCCGUGCCAGCAGCCGCGGUAAU
rnacentral:rRNA from 1 species